CCUACGGGUGGCAGCAGUGAGGAAUAUUGGUCAAUGGACGAGAGUCUGAACCAGCCAAGUAGCGUGAAGGAUGACUGCCCUAUGGGUUGUAAACUUCUUUUAUAUGGGAAUAAAAUGUUCCACGUGUGGGAUUUUGUCUGUACCAUAUGUAUCAGGAUCGGCUAACUACGUGCCAGCAGCCGCGGUAAUACGGAGGAUCCGAGCGUUAUCCGGAUUUAUUGGGUUUAAAGGGAGCGUAGGUGGAUUGUUAAGUCAGUUGUGAAAGUUUGCGGCUCAACCGUAAAAUUGCAGUUGAAACUGGCAGUCUUGAGUACAGUAGAGGUGGGCGGAAUUCGUGGUGUAGCGGUGAAAUGCUUAGAGAUCACGAAGAACUCCGAUUGCGAAGGCAGUUCACUGGACUGCAACUGACACUGAGGCUCGAAAGUGUGGGUAUCAAACAGGAUUAGAUACCCGUGUAGUC
rnacentral:rRNA from 1 species